UACGGAGGGUGCAAGCGUUAUCCGGAUUUACUGGGUUUAAAGGGUGCGUAGGUGGGUAGGUAAGUCAGUGGUGAAAUCUUCGAGCUUAACUCGGAAACUGCCAUUGAUACUAUCUAUCUUGAAUACUUGGAGGUAAGCGGAAUAUGUCAUGUAGCGGUGAAAUGCUUAGAUAUGACAUAGAACACCAAAUUGCGAAGGCAGCUUACUACACAGUUAUUGACACUGAGGCACGAAAGCGUGGGGAUCAAACAGG
rnacentral:rRNA from 1 species